UAUUAAUUUUUGUUAUAACUUUUUAGUGAGCUAAAGGCCUAUUUGUUUGUGUGAAUUGAAUAUUUUCUGAUAUACAAUAUAUGUUUUUUCUAUUUUCGACCAAAGGAAAAGAGGUUUCUCAAUUUGUCUUGUAUAUUUUUUCACCGAGUAGACUGAUUUUGAUAAUUUUUUAUAUUAACCAGAGGGGUAAGAGCCAUCCUUUUACUGCUUUUAAAGUGUUAUCUUGCAAGUCCUGCCAUUCUUUGUUUUUAUUUCGUAGAUUCUCAUAAAUCUGUGAUACAAAUUCUUACCCUGUGGAUAUGGAAAGGGAUGUUUUACAAUAUGAUCGCGCCUAUCUCUUCACCACUUAGAGCGCGAUUGUCCCAUAUAAAAUUGAAAGAUAAAAACAGAAAUUCUUACCCUAGGGUGGAAAAAUAGGUGUGAUUUAUUGUUCACUCCCACAUUGUUGUGGUGUGAGACACUAUAAGAAGUAAUAAGAAAUUAAGCACACAGUAAUCAGUACGUUCGAGCCGAUAGAAACAAUAGGAAAAAAUAAUAAAUAGCUAAUGUAAGUAUACCUGAGUAAUUUUGAGUCGAUGCCGCGGAAAAUAAGCUCAUUAACUAUGAGUAAUGGCAAGCAAAUAAAAAAAAUACGUAGAGCGCGGCGACGCGAGCAUUCAUGAAGAUAAUGUCACCGAUAAGAUGCUCACAAAUUCAAUCUGCUAGUUGAGUUCUGUUUGAUUCUUUUUUGGUUUUAUGAUUAUUACUGGCGGACCCGGGAAAGAAUUUCAAACAAAUUAAAUCAUGAAUAAGAUUUAAAAAUCCGAUUUCUGCAUGUUAAUCUGAACGAUAAGCUGCUAUUUCGUACAAAAUCUGUCUGUCCCGUAAGUAAAGAGUCACAUUUUCAUCGAUUGUAAGCUGCCUUCGACAGCACUGCUACUACCUCUACGCCACUAAGUCGACAACCAGAAGCGGAAAGUAAUUUAUUUACUUCUUCAGCCUAUUUAAAGGCGGGUAGUACGAUCACUCCGGCGUGCAAAAGAGUUAAAAUAUAUGCUUAGAACCUAUAUUCUUGGAUAUAAUUAAGACACUGUAACCUCUGACUGAAAUACAGCAGUUUAUCAUGGCUCUACCUUGGAAGUUUAUCACGCAAUUUUUACGGGUGUGAUAUUGCGAAACUUUCGAGUAGAAAGCGAAGCUGAGCGAAAUGAGGACGAAUUGGAGCAUGAUGGCCUACAAAAUGUAACCGGAUAGAUGUAUAACAUAUUUAUACUAUAGACUACGUGAUGAAAUUCUCAGCACGAUCACUAAAACUCAUAGCGAUCCAUCUUUUUUUAUAGACUGCUCACUUGAAUGAAUGUGGAUUAACCCCGCCAAGUGAAGAAAUGUUGCAAAACAUGAUUUCACCAGAAGCAUUACUCUUCCAAAUGGAAACAUUUUUUCCCUUUUUCCAACUGACUGCAGAAAUGGCGAAAAACAACACCCAAGAACUCGGUGCCUAGAAUGCAUUCCGCUACAUACUCACAUUUAUGUAUAUGUACAUAUAUACAUAUGUAUAUAUAUAAGUAUGGAUCUUUAUAUCAUUAAGGCAUUUUAAAAACACCUUAACAGGCAAUUUUUAAAAUUUGGAGAAGGCAAAACGAAGUCCUAUUCAAUAAGAAAAUGAACAAAAGAAACACACAAUUCUUUUUAGUUGUGGUUUUGAAUUCAACCUAUUUUUCUUAAGCAAAAUUUAUAAGAAACAUUGAAGUCCG